UAUAUUCAGGCUAUUGUUCUCGUGGAUUUUCUUGUUUAUAUAUAUGAAGCUUAUUGCAACAGAACUCCCCAAUUAACGGUUUCAUUUAUCUGGAAAAGGGUAAAAUUAUUACUUUAAGUUCAUCAACCAAGUCUAAUCAAUGUCACAUCUUGGGGAUUACAGAGGAGGGGUUAAUUGGACAAGUUCAACCAAUUCAAUAUAUGAAGAUCUUGAACCUUCCUCUGGAUGGAUAGAGGAUACCAACAACCAUUAUCUUCUUAUUGAUCUUCCUGAAGGAUUCAAAAGGGAGGAGGUGAAGCUUCAAGUUGAUAUAUUUGGCAAUAUAACGGUAAGUGGAGAAAGGAAAGUAAGCGAAUAUAAAUAUAUCCGCUUUAAAAUAUCAACUAAAGCACCUGAAAAAUCAAAAUGUGAGGAUACAAGCGCAAGGCUUGAAGAUGGAAUUCUGUAUGUUAUCAUCCCAAAGGAAUUACCAGAAAACAAAGAAGGCGAUGACGUAGCAACUGAUAGCAAUUCUCAUGAAGAGAAUCAACAGAAAAAACCAGAGGAGGAAGAAGGUCCAAUUAGUGAUGAUAAAGAACAAAGUCAAAAUGCAAAAGAAGAAAAGAGCGAAGCAAGCGAGGAAGAAGAAUUUCAUGAUGCAAAAAUGGCAAAGAAGUGGCACGGAAAUAAUCUAUUGGUAGCAGCAGCAAAAGAAACAAUGAGAAAGAACAAGAUGAUUAUUAUAACAGCUUUGAUUGCAUUUUCUUUAGGUGUUUUAGUUUCUCAUAAAUGUCAGUCAAGCAAAAUUGAUUGACUAAUAUCUCUACCAAAAUAAUGUUAUAUGUGAUAAAGAAUUCUGUACUCAACAUAUUCAACGUGCAAUAAACAUCAAAGCGAACCCACAAAAUAGUACCAGUUACGUUAGAUUUGCAAAAUGCUUUCAAACAAUUACAGUUUGACAAUACCAAUCAAA